GCAGCGUUUUGGUGGGUUAGUACAGAAGCAGCGUACCCCUGGGGCUGAAAAACACCAGAGAUCCCACAGGGAGAUCUGCAGGCAUGGCUCCAGAUUGAUUCACUAGAAAUAAUGAAGAAAGGAUAAGCAGGUGAAGACCUGUACCAUGAAGUGGAAGAAUAAUCCUGUGUGAAUCACCUUUGCCUGCAUAGUUAGCAUCUUUCACAAUUACUUUCACUGAAAUAAAACCUGUUGCAGUCUCAGUUCUAACACAAACGCAGCUCUCCACUACCACAAACAGCGCGGCCGAACUGAAAUCAGAGGAGCCAACAAAGCCAAGGUACAAGGGAUGAACCUCAUCCCAGAAAAAUCACUUUGACCAUAGUGUCUGCUCUGCCAGGAAAAGGAUUUAAAUUGCAAUCCUUGGAAGAACCACUACAUUCACCUGUGUUUCCUGAUCAAACACAGCAAGUGCAGUCUUUUAAAAGCCGCAUGGAAUAUCUAGGAACUCGGUGCCCUCUGCUGGUACAUCAGGGAAAAGUGAUCUGAACUUUAAAGUCGAGCAGGAAAGAAUGGCUGUUCACAAAUAAAGCUAUGGAUGUAACACACAAACCGUCCACCUAUGCCUGCGUUGAUUGUUUCAAAGUGUCUAACAUGGCAAAGUCCAGUGUAAGCUACAUAUGCAGAAUAUGUAAGUUCUCCAUCCAUGAGCUGUAAGUAAACUGCCAUUUCACGUCAC